rnacentral:rRNA from 1 species
UACAGAGGUGGCAAGCGUUGUUCGGAAUUACUGGGCGUAAAGGGCGCGUAGGCGGUCUUGUAAGUCUUGUGUGAAAUCCCUCGGCUUAACUGAGGAACUGCACGGGAUACGGCGAGACUUGAGAUCGGGAGAGGGAAGCGGAAUUCCGGGUGUAGCGGUGAAAUGCGUAGAUAUCCGGAGGAACACCGGUGGCGAAGGCGGCUUCCUGGACCGACACUGACGCUGAGGCGCGAAAGCUAGGGGAGCAAACGGG